UACGUAGGUGGCAAGCGUUAUCCGGAAUUAUUGGGCGUAAAGAGCGCGCAGGUGGUUGAUUAAGUCUGAUGUGAAAGCCCACGGCUUAACCGUGGAGGGUCAUUGGAAACUGGUCGACUUGAGUGCAGAAGAGGGAAGUGGAAUUCCAUGUGUAGCGGUGAAAUGCGUAGGGAUAUGGAGGAACACCAGUGGCGAAGGCGGCUUCCUGGUCUGUAACUGACACUGAGGCGCGAAAGCGUGGGGAGCAAACAGGAUUAGAUACCCU
rnacentral:rRNA from 1 species